AACAAAUGCCUUAUACAAAAAUAAAAUAGUUGUAGACAAAAUGCCUAAAAAGAAAAGAAAAAUAGAAUCUGCUGCUACUAAUGGACCACAAAACAAAGAAAAUACUCAAAGCCAAAAAGUUCAAUUGUUAAAUCAACAUCAAGUAUCUAACUUAGAAGUUAACCUCAACGAAAUAGAUGUUUUUUUA